rnacentral:lncRNA from 1 species
UGAAGUUGGUGUUCCAAAUGUUGCAGGUGAAGUUGGUGAUCAUGAAGCUCUAGAUGAUGUGGCUGUCGCUGAAAAAGGUGAGGAUGCUGCUCAUAUCCCCACCUUUGGCUCAAGUUGUACCUGAAGAUAUUGUGCAGGGCUCUAACAAGCUUCCUGUAUCGCAAGGUGUUCAUGGUGCAGGUGAAGUUGGUGUUCCAAAUGUUGCAGGUGAAGUUGUUGAUCAUGAAGCACCAGAAGUGGCAAGUGUUGCUCUAGUUGCUGUUGUUCAAAAUGCCACUGCCUCUGUUGGUGCUCCAGAUGCUGAAGUUGCUGCUGUUGAUGAUGCAGAAUAGUUGUCUCCUGCACUAUAUUCAUCUUUGUUCUGCCUUUUCAUUUGAGCUUUAGGCGAGAACUGAUGAAAGGCAAUUCAAUAUCAGCACCAGCUUUAGACAAGCCGAUUGAGCUAGCCUAUUUGGGCAACAAACUGAUUGGCAAAUUGGACAGGCUUGACCUUGUUGGCCUUAAGAGUUGUAGAUGAUUCUAGGUAUAGUUAGGAACUGUUCUUUUGUUAGGAAUUUUACGUGGGAUGAUAGCUGGCUUGUUGCUUUUACCAUGAACACUGAACACUUCAAAGCCUAAGGGAGGUGACUGAGAGGAUUGCAAUGGCACUUUAGGGCACUCCCAAGUGUUGGUCUUUAUGGAUACCCUGUCCUAAAAAAGUUUACCUUUGCCAUUAUGAUUUCAUGAUUCUUAAUUCGACUGAGCUCCACAAAUGUAAUGCUUCUCUGGAAAUCAUGUGUCAAGUGGAGCCGUACAUGUCUCUGAUUGCCAUUUUAUAGCAUGAAUUGCAUUAUCCUUGAUGUUUACUUGAAGUACAAU